UACGUAGGGUGCGAGCGUUGUUCGGAAUUACUGGGCGUAAAGGGCUCGUAGGUGGCCAACUAAGUCAGACGUGAAAUCCCUCGGCUUAACCGGGGAACUGCGUCUGAUACUGGGUGGCUAGAGUUCGGAAGAGGCGAGUGGAAUUCCCGGUGUAGCGGUGAAAUGCGCAGAUAUCGGGAGGAACACCAAUGGCGAAGGCAGCUCGCUGGGACGUUACUGACGCUGAGACGCGAAAGCGUGGGGAGCAAACAGG
rnacentral:rRNA from 1 species